GCAAGCCUGCAGUCGACGAUUCCUACGGGAGGCAGCAGGAGGGAAUAUUGCGCAAUGGGCGAAAGCCUGACGCAGCAACGCCGCGUGAGGGAUGACGGCCUUCGGGUUGUAAACCUCUUUCAGUGGGGACGAAAUUGACGGUACCCACAGAAGAAGCACCGGCCAACUACGUGCCAGCAGCCGCGGUAAUACGUAGGGUGCAAGCAUUGUCCGGAUUUAUUGGGCGUAAAGAGCUCGUAGGCGGCUUAACAAGUCGGUCGUGAAAUACCGAGGCUCAACCUCGGGGAGUCGGUCGAAACUGUUAUGGCUAGAGUACGGUAGAGGAGAGUGGAAUUCCCGGUGUAGCGGUGGAAUGCGCAGAUAUCGGGAGGAACACCAGUAGCGAAGGCGGCUCUCUGGGCCGUUACUGACGCUGAGGAGCGAAAGCGUGGGGAGCAAACAGGAUUAGAUACCCUGGUAGUCCACGCUGUAAACGUUGGGAACUAGGUGUUGCGGUCUGAUCAAUGACUGCGGUGCCGAAGCUAACGCAUUAAGUUCCCCGCCUGGGGAGUACGGCCGCAAGGCUAAAACUCAAAGGAAUUGACGG
rnacentral:rRNA from 1 species